AUGGCUAUUAGCUUGCUUAGGAAGAUGGAAGAAGGGAAUUUUGAGCUUGAUCUGACAGCGUAUAACACAAUCAUUGAUAGUUUAUGUAAGGAUAGAUUGGUAACUGAGGCUUUGAACUUUUUAUCUGAAAUGAUGAUUAAAGGGAUUCAGCCGGACCUUGUCACUUACAAUUCCUUAAUUCAAGGCCUAUGCAAUUUCAGCCGGUGGAGAGAGGCUACUACUCUGUUGAAUGAGAUGGAGCUAAGGAAGAUUGUGCCAAGUGUGAGGACCUUCAAUAUAUUGGUGGACACAUAUUGCAAAGAGGGAAUGCUUACAAAGGCAAAAGAAGUUUUUGAUGUGAUGAUUGAAAGAGGAAUCAUGCCUGACACAAUCACUUACAAUUCUCUAAUUGAUGGUUACUGUUUGCAAAGCAAAAUGGAUGAUGCAGUCAAAACAUUUAAUAUGAUGGAUGAGAGGGGUUGUUCACUUGAUGUGUUUAGCUAUAACAUAUUAAUCAAUGGAUUUUGCAAAAAUAAAAGAAUUGAUGAAGCAAGGAGUCUCUUUGAUGAAAUGUCCAACAAAGGAGUGGCUCCCAACAUUGUGACUUAUAACACUCUUAUAGGUGGGUUUUAUCGAGUGGAGAGACCCCAAGCUGCACUAGACCUAUUACAUAAGAUGCAGGCAUGUGGCCAACUUCCAGCUCCCCAAACCUAUGCUAUCUUGUUGGAUGGCCUUUGUAAGAACAAAAAAAUUGGGGACGCGAUGGCAUUGUUUCAAGAGAUGGAAGACAAAAAGUUGGACCACAAUAUUGUGUUUUACAAAAUCUUGAUUGAUAGUAUGUGCAAUGUUAGGGAACUUACAACUGCAAGAGAAAUCUUUAGUAGCCUUCUUGCGAAAGGAUUGCAACCUAAUGUUUCGACUUACAAUAUAAUGAUCAAAGAGUUUUGCAAAGAGGGGCUUAUUGAUGAACCAAGUGAGCUACUAGAGAAAAUGGAUGGGAACCAUUUCUCUCCUAAUGAUCGCACAUAUAACACAAUCAUCCAAGGGUUGCUGCAACAAAAUGAGACAGCAAAGGCUGUGGAACUUAUUAAGAUAAUGAUUGACAAAGGUUUUUCAGCAAAUGCAACCACUGCUAUUUGCAAAUCCAGCCGAUAAAGCACUUCAAGAAUUACUUCAUUAUUAAGACUUUGCUAGUCAAUCUAUAAGGUGUAUGUAUAUUUGUUGGAAGUGGUUAUUUACUUUUUGUGAAGUGAUGAUUCUUUUCAUGAAUUUUCAAUUUCAUUUAUGUAUGCAUGGUUGUUUGUACCUGUUCUAUCUUUUGUUGCAAUUUCAUUGUGCACUCAUGUCGUUUCUUGGAAGUUGGAACCUAUUUUACUGGAUAGUUGUUUCAAAAUUUUUUCUUAUUUAAAUUAAUGCUAAUAUUGUCAAUACAAAAUUAACUUCAUGGUUUAAUCAUUUUGGCAUUUAUGAUUUAAAGUAAAUGAAAUGAAUUGGAAACUCCCAACUUGUGAUCAUAUAGCUGAAGAAUGGUUCAUUUGUUAGUGAUUAAUUACAUUUCAUGGACACAAAGAGCUGAUUCUUUUGGAGCUUUUGUAAUUUCAUUUUGUGGUAUGUAGAUUGUGAAUUCCUAGGCUAACUUGGGUUAGGUUUCUUAGUUUUAGUUAGUGAUGUUAUGCUUAAAGAAAACCAAUCUUUUUGAAAUACACAAGGUUAACUUAGUGAUGUCAUGUUUGGUCAAGUAUAAGAUAGAUAAUCCCAUAGUUCUUGUGAAAUAUACAACAAGGUUUAUAAAAGUCAUGUUGUAAGUUACUGCAAAAUCAUUAUAAUAAGAUAUUUAUAGUAUCUCCACCUUCUGGUCCAAUUCCAAUAUUCACGGUUUUGAAUAUUGUGUGUACUAAUAGGAACUAAGUGAUGUGAAUGUGUGUAUGAGUGUUUUCUUGUUAGGUUGAUUUGGUCUUUGACUUGUGAUUUUGGUUGCGAUACAGAGAAAGAAAUAGAGAGAUAAAUCGUGUUUUGAAACUUUCUGAUUUCAUACAGAGACAUUUUUCAUUCUAUUUUUUCCCCAAAAUAAGGAGGAAGGAAGAUGAAGCGGCCUUCAGCAUAAGCACAAAAAACCCUUUUCCUAGGAACUCUCGAUAUCAGACCAUUCUUUCUCGGUAAUUUUCAACUAACCUCUUAUCCUAUUGUCUUCAAUUAUGUUUGCUGUCAAUUUAUGGAUUUCGUUGAAAUCAGGGAAACAACGUAGAAGAUCAAAUUCUAACUGAAUUGUUAUUAGGAAUUUUCUAUUUCUGGGUUUUGUAUCAAAUUCUAACUGAAUUGUUAUUAGGAAUUUUCUAUUUCUGGGUUUUUUUUUUUUAUCAAAUUCUAAUUGAAUUGUUAUUAGGAAUUUUUAGUUUCUAGGUUUUGUUCCUUUGAUUUAAUGAAUUUUAGUUUCGUAUUUUGUUUGUUUUGAUUUUUUUUUUUUUUUUGGCUUGCUAUUUGGGUCAUUAGAGAAGAAUGAGGAUUAUUAGAUAAAUUAUAGUGUAUUUCUCUGGCAUUGGAGUGUUCUUUUUAAUCUAAACGUGGGAGUGUCGAAUUGUGGCAGAAACUGGAGAGCGAACGUCAGAGAGAAAUCCAAUCAGAAAUAGAAAGUGGAGAGUGGAAAAAACUAAGAAGAUAGUCACGCCUCUACCUCCAUCAGACCCGUACUCUCCACUGGUAUGGUUUCUAUUUUUUGGUUCUUUAAAUUUGGGGUCAAAUAUGCUUUAGGUCUAGGUAUUUUCGUUAGAUUGGAUUGAAUUUAGGUUUUGACUUAGAUUCGGUUUUGAGUAAGGAAUUUGGUUUAUAAUGGUUUUUAAUAUCAGUUAUCUGUCUUAGAUUUGGUUUUUUUUUUUUUUNNNNNNNNNUUGGGUUGUGGGGGGUGGGGGGGGGGGGAUAUUUGGGUUCAAUUUAUUUUGGGUGUAUGUCUUUGCUCUUCAGAUCUUCAUGGAUCAAUUUGGUGUUGUACCUCAACAAAAAAGUUAUCGUCCUCUGUUUCCAUUCAUUCAACAAAAAUGGCCAAAAGAAAAGGAAACUCUUCACCUUUUCGUGCUUUGUUUGUUUCGUUUCUGCAACUCCGUAUACACAAGUUUUGCAUAACGUUGUUAAUUUUCCUGUUUCGGAUACUCUUUCUGUGUAGUUUAUCAAAUUCAGCCCACUUUCUUUCCAUUUGCAUGUUCCUUUCCAGAAAAUCAAAAUUCGCAAACCAAUUUUGCCUCUUCAAAAUUUCCAAAAAUGCAUUUUUUUAUAUCUUUCAUUGAACAAAUAUUGAUCCUUGGCUUACCAUAGAAAAAAAAAGGUUAUUAUGCCUUCUAGAAUAAUUGGUAGAGAGAGAGGGUCAGCGAGUUUUUUGGCUUAGUAGAGAGAGAAAAAUCUGAAGACCACUGUCAUUGUCAGGCCAUUCUCCCGCCACUGUACGACUUAAAAAAUUCAAUGAUGGGGUUAUUCGACAAUGAAUUGGGCCACAAUAGAUUUUAUUGUUAAGAUCAUAUACAUAUUCAAAUCCUGCAAUAUGUGUUUAGUUGUUAGCUAUUGUACCUAUCAUGUUAUUAGUUGGACCUGAUUUGAAUUUUUGGGUUUCUUUGAAUGCAGAUAAAAAUUUGCACUGUUUUACAUAUUUGUUUUUAUUGCAUUCCACAUGUUCAAUGAAAUCCCUCUUAGAUUUAAUAUGUGAUGUUUGGGUUUGAUUUUCCCCACCCCAUAUCAUGAUAAAUAUAAAUGAUUUAUUCAUUUAUCAACAAUGAAUAUGAACAAAAGUUUAGAAGGAUAAAGUCUAGAAGAUAUCAGCAUGGUAGAUAAAAUGAAUUAUGAACCAAAUGUGAUGCAAUUGGUAAUAUUACAUAACAUGUACAUAGUUUUUUUUUUUUCUUUCUUUCCAUAGCUAUGUGAUGAUGUGCUUACUUAUUGCAGACAAUUUCAGAUGAAUAA
rnacentral:sRNA from 1 species